GACGAACGCUGGCGGCGUGCUUAACUCAUGCAAGUCGAACGGUAAGGCCCUUCGGGGUACACGAGUGGCGAACGGGUGAGUAACACGUGGGUGAUCUGCCCUGCACUUCGGGAUAAGCCUGGGAAACUGGGUCUAAUACCGGAUAGGACCACUGCCUGCAUGGGUGGGGGUGGAAAGCUUUUGCGGUGUGGGAUGGGCCCGCGGCCUAUCAGCUUGUUGGUGGGGUGAUGGCCUACCAAGGCGACGACGGGUAGCCGGCCUGAGAGGGUGACCGGACACACUGGGACUGAGAUACGGCCCAGAGUCCUACGGGAGGCAGCAGUGGGGAAUAUUGCACAAUGGGCGCAAGCCUGAUGCAGCGACGCCGCGUGAGGGAUGACGGCCUUCGGGUUGUAAACCUCUUUCAGCACCGACGAAGCGCAAGUGACGGUAGGUGCAGAAGAAGGACCGGCCAACUACGUGCCAGCCGCCGCGGUAA
rnacentral:rRNA from 1 species